UACGUAGGGUGCAAGCGUUGUCCGGAAUUAUUGGGCGUAAAGAGCUCGUAGGCGGUUUGUCGCGUCUGCUGUGAAAACGCGAGGCUCAACCUCGCGCCUGCAGUGGGUACGGGCAGACUAGAGUGCGGUAGGGGAGAUUGGAAUUCCUGGUGUAGCGGUGGAAUGCGCAGAUAUCAGGAGGAACAGCCGGUGGCGAAGGCGGGUCUCUGGGCCGAUACUGACGCUGAGGAGCGAAAGCGUGGGGAGCGAACAGG
rnacentral:rRNA from 1 species